rnacentral:rRNA from 1 species
GAUGAACGCUGGCGGCGUGCUUAACACAUGCAAGUCGAACGGUGAAGCAGGAGCUUGCUCUUGUGGAUCAGUGGCGAACGAGUGGGUAACACGUGAGCAACCUGCCCCUGACUCUGGGAUAAGCGCUGGAAACGGCGUCUAAUACUGGAUAUGUGAUGUGACCGCAUGGUCUGCAUCUGGAAAGAAUUUCGGUUGGGGGUGGGCUCGCGGCCUAUCAGCUUGUUGGUGAGGUAAUGGCUCACCAAGGCGUCGACGGGUAGCCGGCCUGAGAGGGUGACCGGCCACACUGGGACUGAGACACGGCCCAGACUCCUACGGGAGGCAGCAGUGGGGAAUAUUGCACAAUGGGCGGAAGCCUGAUGCAGCAACGCCGCGUGAGGGAUGACGGCCUUCGGGUUGUAAACCUCUUUUAGCAGGGAAGAAGCGAAAGUGACGGUACCUGCAGAAAAAGCACCGGCUAACUACGUGCCAGCAGCCGCAGUAA